rnacentral:rRNA from 1 species
GAUGAACGCUGGCGGCGUGCCUAAUACAUGCAAGUCGAGCGAACAGACGAGGAGCUUGCUCCUCUGACGUUAGCGGCGGACGGGUGAGUAACACGUGGAUAACCUACCUAUAAGACUGGGAUAACUUCGGGAAACCGGAGCUAAUACCGGGUAAUAUAUUGAACCGCAUGGUUCAAUAGUGAAAGACGGUUUUGCUGUCACUUAUAGAUGGAUCCGCGCCGCAUUAGCUAGUUGGUAAGGUAACGGCUUACCAAGGCAACGAUGCGUAGCCGACCUGAGAGGGUGAUCGGCCACACUGGAACUGAGACACGGUCCAGACUCCUACGGGAGGCAGCAGUAGGGAAUCUUCCGCAAAGGGCGAAAGCUUGACGGAGCAACGCCGCGUGAGUGAUGAAGGUCUUCGGAUCGUAAAACUCUGUUAUUAGGGAAGAACAAAUGUGUAAGUAACUAUGCACGUCUUGACGGUACCUAAUCAGAAAGCCACGGCUAACUACGUG